rnacentral:rRNA from 1 species
AACGAACGCUGGCGGCAUGCCUAACACAUGCAGGUCGAACGAGGUCUUCGGGUCUAGUGGCGCACGGGUGCGUAACGCGUGGGAAUCUGCCCUUUGGUUCGGAAUAACAGUUGGAAACGACUGCUAAUACCGGAUGAUGACGAAAGUCCAAAGAUUUAUCGCCAGAGGAUGAGCCCGCGUAGGAUUAGCUAGUUGGUGUGGUAAAGGCGCACCAAGGCGACGAUCCUUAGCUGGUCUGAGAGGAUGAUCAGCCACACUGGGACUGAGACACGGCCCAGACUCCUACGGGAGGCAGCAGUGGGGAAUAUUGGACAAUGGGCGAAAGCCUGAUCCAGCAAUGCCGCGUGAGUGAUGAAGGCCUUAGGGUUGUAAAGCCCUUUUACCCGGGAUGAUAAUGACAGUACCGGGAGAAUAAGCUCCGGCUAACUCCGUGCCAGCAGCCGCCGUAA